CUACAGCAGUUACUACGCCACCUGGUGGAUGACUAGGCUCGGUUGCCGAAGAAGGUCGUGCCAAGCAGCGAUAUGCUUCGGGGAGGCGCAUGGAGCCUUUGAUCCGAAGAUUGCCGAAUGGGACUUCUCGAACCCUAGUGGUUCAAUCCGAAAGGAUGGGGAACGCCCUGAAUUGAAACAUCUUAGUAAGGGCAGGAAAAGAAAUCAAAUGAGAUGAGGUUAGUAAAGGCGAUCGAACACCUCAUAGGGCAAUCCGAAUCUUCUGAUGAGAAUCAGUAGAAAUGUGGAGUGGUCUGUUUACAUCUUAACACUGUUAUCCGAAUUUCGUGUGGAACACCGGUGCCAUAGAGGGUGAUAGCCCCGUAGGAGACACCGUGAAAGAUGAUUUUCAGGACCCAAGAGUAGCGUGCAUUGGAUAUUGCGCGUGAAUACGGGAGGUACUAACUUCCAACCCUAAAUACAAACCGAGACCGAUAGCGCAAUAGUAGCGUGAGCGAAAGUUGUAAAGCAUCCCUGGCGGGAGAUUAAUAAGACCCUGAAAUCAGGUGGUUACAGACUGGUAUGGCGUGCAAGGGAUUAAGCGGUUACACCUAACCGUACCGACGUCAUGCCGUUCGAUUCGAAAAUUGAUCCGUGGAGUUCCUAUCAUUGGCGAGGUUAAGUACGCAGGUACGAAGCCGUAGGGAAACCGAUAGCCCGCAGCGCAAGCGAGGGGCAAGGUGCGCUCGCCUGAAGUCAAUGGUUGGAUACCCGAAGCCGGUCGAUCUAUGCCUGGGCAGGGUGAAGCCUUUCGGAAGAAGGGUGGAGGCCCGCACCAGUACUGAUGUGCAAAUCGUUUGGAUGACCUGGGUAUAGGGGCGAAAGACCAAUCUAGACCGGUAAUAGCUGGUUCCUCUCGAAACUGCUCGCAGGCAGACCUCAGCUGAGACGGGGCAUGCGGUAGAGCACUGAUUGCGUGUUUAGGAAGCGAAAGUUUUCGGCAUGCUGUCAAACUCCGAAUGUGUGUCCGUUGUAGAAGCUGGGCAGUGAGGGCAUCGGGGUAAGCUUGAUGUCCAUAAGGAAAACAAACCAGACCAAAGUUAAGGUCCCUAAGUAACAGCUAAGUGUUAAAGAACAAAUAGUGUUUGAAGGCAUAGACAGCUGGAAGGUUGGCUUAGAGGCAGCCAUCCUUUAAAGAGUUCGUAACAGAUCACCAGUCAAGUCUCUGAGCCUAGAAAAUGGACGGGACUAAGUUGUUCACCGAUACUUUGGGCCACCGAAAGGUGAUGCGGUAGAGAGGCGUCGUGCGCGGGUGGAAGUGGGGCCGUGAGGUCCUGUGGACCGCGUUCGAAUGAUAAUCAUGGAAAUAGUAGUAGCGUAGAUGGGUGAGAAUCCCAUCCGCCGGAGGGGCUAGGGUUCCUCGACGAUGUUCAUCAGUCGAGGGUUAGUCGGUCCUAAGGUUCCCCCUAACAGGAGGAAUCGAAAGGGAAGCAGGUUAAAAUUCCUGCACCAAUUCACAUUUUGUCCAUUUCCUGACACAUCGGGUCCAGUGGAACACUCUUGUCUGAGUGUUGCCUUCAGCAAUAAAUUUGUGGAGUACCGUAAUGGUGAGAAACAAACUAAGCUGUUGGGAGGCGAAGUAUUUCGCUUCUGCUCUAGCCUGGUGUCCGUGAAAAGGGAUCUGGAGUCGUGUGAGUUGUCCGUACCGAGAUCUGACACAGGUGCCCCUAGGUGAGUAGCCUAAGGCGUCGCGGCAGAAUCCGGGCGAGGGAAUUCGGCAAAUUAGCCCCGUACCUUUGGUAUAAGGGGUGCCAGCUCUGUAGAGAGCUGGUCGCAGUGACUAGGGAGCUCCGACUGUUUACUAAAAACACAGGUGGCUGCUAGUCCGUAAGGAUGAGUAUAGCCGCUGAAUCCUGCCCAGUGGCGGUAUCUGAAACCCGGUUACAACCGGACGAAGGACCGCUAAACGGCGGGGGUAACUAUGACCCUCUUAAGGUAGCGUAAUACCUUGUCGCUUAAUUGGCGACUUGCACGAACGGCCUAACGAGAGCUCUACUGUCCCCGCCCGGAGCCCGAUGAAAUUGACUUACUGGCGCACAGUCCAGUACGUCCCAGCCGCAAGCGAAGACCCCGUGGAGCUUUACUGCAACCUGCCGUUGUGGCACGAGUUGUUAUGUGUAGAGUAGCCGGGAGACAUUACACAGGUGCGAGCGCUAGCUCGUCGCCGAGUCACUGAUGAAACACCGUCCUUUUCGAUUCGUCCCACUCACCUCUUCGGAGGAACCCCGGUAGGCGGGCAGUUUGGGUGGGGCGCCACUCCCUCGAAAAUUUAACAAGGGAGCCCAAAGGUCAGCUUAGGUAGGUCAGGAAUCUACCGUUAAGUGCAAGGGCAAAAGCUGGCUUGACGUGGUUUGGCAACACAACAAACCACGAUGCGAAAGCAGGGCCUAGCGAACCAACCAGCGCCGUUAGUAGGUGCGGUUGAUAACAGAAAAGUUACCCCGGGGAUAACUGAGUUGUCUGGAGCAAGAGCCCACAUCGACCUCCAGGCUUGCUACUUCGAUGUCGUCUCUUCCUAUCCUGGGUGUGCAGAAGCACCCAAGGGUGGGGUUGUUCGCCCAUUAAAAGGGAUCGUGAGAUGGGUUUAGACCGUCGUGAGACAGGUUUGUUGCUAUGUGCUGGGACUGUCCAAUACCUGAGGGGAAGGAUCCUCUAGUACGAGAGGAACGAGGGUUCGCAGCCACUAGUUUACCAGUUGUCUGACAAGGCACCGCUGGGCAGCCACGCUGUAAGGGAUAAGAGCUGAAAGCAUCUAAGCUCGAAACCCGCCUCAAAACGAGGUAUUAUGACACUUAUAGAAGAUAAGUUAGAUAGGACCGGGGUGUAAGCACCGAGAGUAUCAGUGUUACUGGAAACCACUACUUCGGUAGAGGUGAAAGGUGACACUUCGAGGUGUUCAGCCCGUCGGUUACUAAUAGUCACAACUGCUACUU
rnacentral:rRNA from 1 species